UUUUUCCGUGUGUCGGCUGGCGAUCCUUCAAAUCAAUGUCUCCUUUCUUGACGAAGCCGUGCGUGCCGUGCGUCGUGCAUAAGUGUUCCUCCUGCGUCUCCUUGGAUGUUGCCGGGUCUCCUGGAAAUUCAUCCACAGCUGGAAACCAAAAUUGUGCUUCAUCCCAGACCACAGCUUAUCUCCACAUCAAAGCCUCAUAUCACCAUUACAUCUCCAGUCUCACUCACGUUCACUCUGGAAAAAAAAAAAAAAGAA